rnacentral:rRNA from 1 species
GAUGAACGCUGGCGGCGUGCCUAAUACAUGCAAGUCGAGCGAAUGGAUUAAGAGCUUGCUCUUAUGAAGUUAGCGGCGGACGGGUGAGUAACACGUGGGUAACCUGCCCAUAAGACUGGGAUAACUCCGGGAAACCGGGGCUAAUACCGGAUAACAUUUUGAACCGCAUGGUUCGAAAUUGAAAGGCGGCUUCGGCUGUCACCUAUGGAUGGACCCGCGUCGCAUUAGCUAGUUGGUGAGGUAACGGCUCACCAAGGCAACGAUGCGUAGCCGACCUGAGAGGGUGGACGGCCACACUGGGACUGAGACACGGCCCAGACUCCUACGGGGGGCAUCAGGAGGGAGUCUUCCGCAAUGGACGAAAGUCUGACGGAGCAACGCCGCGUGAGUGACGAAGGCUUUCGGGUCGUAAAACUCUGUUGUUAGGGAAGAACAAGUGCUAGUUGAAUAAGCUGGCACCUUGACGGUACCUAACCAGAAAGCCACGGCUAACUACGUGCCAGCAGCCGCAGUAA